CUAACUCAAAUUUGUAUGCAGUUGGAACAGCGCCCCUAGCGGCAAACGUUCCAACUCCAUACAAAUUUGAGUUA
rnacentral:pre_miRNA from 1 species